rnacentral:rRNA from 1 species
GACAGAGGGUGCAAACGUUGUUCGGAUUUACUGGGCGUAAAGCGCGUGUAGGCGGCUUUGCAAGUCGGAUGUGAAAGCCCACGGCUCAACCGUGGAAGUGCAUCCGAAACUGCAUGGCUCGAGUCUCGGAGAGGAAGGUGGAAUGCUUGGUGUAGAGGUGAAAUGCGUAGAUAUCAAGUGGAACACCAGUGGCGAAGGCGAGUCCCUGGACGACUCCUGACACUGAGGCACGAAAGCUAGGGGAGCAAACAGG